rnacentral:lncRNA from 1 species
UUUUUAAAGGUGACAAAGUUACUAAAUGUGCAAGGCCUCAUAGCUUAGAUAGCAGCUGGCUUGUACUGCAUCCAGCAAAUGGACCUACACACCUGUGAGUACUUAAUAGACUUCUUUCCCCCUAGAUUUAAAAGUCAUUCCAUACUAAAAUAUUUGGUAUUGGAAACUCAUUUUAAGGUGACCACUGAAAAUUAUGGAAUCUAUAUGCAUCACCUUCUGAAUAAAAUAAGCCAGGAUGUUUUAUCAUUUCUGUUAAAGUGGAAAUCCCUAAGAAAUAAAAAUUUUAAGAUUUCUGUCUGUAAAAUUGAUUCAUUGAAAUUCUGAGGCUGAGUUUGCAUGAUUUAAUUUCUUUAUAGAUACACAAAUAGAUAUUUAUAAUGAUCCUCCUCUUUCAGCUUCCCUAUUUAAGGGAGAAAAGUUUCCAGACAAGCGUGUAAGCAUAUUGGUCAAUCUGGCUUGAUUGCUUUCCUCCAGCAAUGGGCAGUUUUAAUUUCCUAUCACAUUUAUAGUCAUUAUGUUUGAGAAAGGGCAAAAGAGGUUAAUGAAAUCAUUAUAAUUUCAUUCAAAUGAUAUAUAUUUUAAAAGCUCAAUUAAAGAAACAGAUACCAGGGUACCACAUUUUAUUUACCUUAUGGAGACCAUCGCUCUGUAGCACCUGUAAAGAUACUGAAGAAACACAUUUCCCAAUGCUAAAAUGAAUGUGAAGUCAUUACCAUCACUGAACAUAUCUAUAAAGUAAGUUUAUUAUGAAGAUAAAUGAUGUUUAAUUGAAAAUGCAUUGUUUCCUUAUUUAUUUAAUGCAUUUUUAAUCAAAUUCCUGACAGUUUUAAGGUAACAUAACAAAUUGGUUACUAAGGAAUACUGCAAUUUGACUGAAAUAUUACAAGUUACUUGGUUUUGAACAAACUAAUAAACCUCUUUAAUCAGUGCUUUCUUCAUCUGUAAAGUGAACAUAAUGAUAUUACUAGCCCCAACAUGAUGGGGCAAAUGACAUAAGUAACAUAAAAUCACACUGACUGACAUCUAUAAUAAGACGUUAAUACAUUUUCUCUAUUAUCAUUAUUACUAUUGUUACUACUAUUAUUAUGUCAUAUCCUUUAGAAAUAUGGAACAUUCUGGGAGGCCGAGGUGGGCGGAUCACGAGGUCAGGAGAUUGAGACCAUCCUGGCUAACACGGUGAAACCCCGUCUCUACUAAAAAUACAAAAAAAUUAGCCGGGCGUGGCGGCGGGCGCCUGUAGUCCCAGCUACUUGGGAGGCUGAGGCAGGAGAAUGGUGCGAACCCGGGAGGCAGAUUUUGCAGAGAGCCGAGAUCGUGCCACUGCACUCCAGCCUGGGCGACAGAGCAAGACUCCGUCUCAAAACAAAAAACAAACAAACAAAUAUGGAGCAUUCUGAUAUGAAUAAGACACUUGCUCACUUCUCAAUUCCUUGGUGUCCAGGUGGGAAAGCAGAUAAGAUUAUGUUAACAUUGUACCAAUCUGAUCUGGUCUAAACAUUUUAUCUAUAUUAACUCAUUUAUACUGUCAAUAAUUAUGUUAGGUAGGUUUCAUGAGUAUUCCUGUUGUACAAAUGAGGAAAUAGUGGCUUCAUAGGAUAAACGGUUGCUCAUAGUUACAUGGCUAGCUAGAGUUUUGCUGGGAUGUGACUCCAGGCAGUUUUGUUCCAGAGUCAUUAUUUUUUUCUUUUCUACAGCUCUACAAGUGUAUAUAGACUUCCAAAGAAUAUUUAAAUCCUUUAACAAAAAUGCCACCUAAGAAAAUAUGAAAUACUUCAGUCUGUCUGUCAGUGCUCACUUCCUGUCUAGAAACUUUCAGGCUCCGGCACAAAUGAACCAUGUUCUUCGCCUAAGUCAUUUAUGGAACAUCUGCUUUCGGUUUAGCAUCAGGUAAGAUAAUAAGAGAAAUUCAGUGCUACUAUCACUGCUUUCAGGAAGCUUACAACCUUUUAAACAAAUAUGCAACCAUAGCGUAUGGCCCUUUUAUGGAAUUUUGGAAGAUGACUAAUGUCUGUAUACAAAAAUGUACAUAUAUAUGUACAUGUAUGUACAUACACACAAUUGUAAUAUUUGGUUAUACAUAUAGUAAAGAAUGCUACCUUUUUUAAAAUUGUUUUCUGCCUUCCAGUCAAUGAUAAGAAUCCAGACAUAUUCAUUUAAAUAGGGGGAGAGGGACACUUAUAAUUCUUAUUUCAUCUUUACAGAUACAAUGUAUUUCUUUGGAAUUGACAGGGGAAACAAAGCAAAGAAGAAUGACACUGAAGAAUCAAAAAAAAAAAUGAGCAUAAGACCCAUGAAGAUUACAGACACAUACACUCCUAAAAUUAAACAUUAAGCGGAAUAAAAAUAAUCCCAGAUUAUAUGGUCUGACAUGCCAGAAGAAAUAAAAACCUAAGGAAUUAGUUAAAAUCUGUGCAAAAAAAAAAAAAAAAAAAAAAAAAAAAAAACACUAUGACUAGAAAAAGCACUAUUACUAGUAAAAAUAAUGAUAAUGAAUUCUGGUGUCUAAAAUAUUGAACUAAAUAGUUAACAAUAGCAUAUACAUUAAGAGAGAGUGAUUGGGAUUUACAGGUUCUUAAUCCUGCUAAUGUCAGGAAUAAGGUAGAGAUAAUGUUAGCAGAGAUUUUGAUAAAUAUGUAUAUUAAAAUCUGUAGGGUAAUCACUGAAACCAAAAUGGUGGAUAUAAUUUAUCAAAUAAUAGCAAACAAAUCAAGUGAAAAAUUACCAAAUUAAGGCUGGGCACGGUGGCUUACACCUGUAAUCCCAACAAUUUGGGAGGCUGAGGUGGGUGGAUCACCUGAGGUCAGGAGUUUGGGACCCAGCCUGGCCAACAUGGUGAAACACCAUCUCUACUAAAAAUACAAAAAUUAGCCAGGGGUGGUGGUUGGUGCCUGUAAUCCCAUCUACUCAGGCAACUGAGGCAGGAGAAUCACUUGAACCCAGGAGGCAGAGGUUGCAGUGAGCCAAGAUGGCGCCUCUGCACUCCAGCCUGGGAGACAAGAGUGAAACUCUAUCUCAAAAAAAAAAAAAAUUAAUUAAUUAAUUCAUAAAAGGCUAGAGAGCAUGAAAAACAAAAGAGAAAAAAAUAGCAUUCAGCUAUCAGAAGUCUGGGUCUAAAGGAAAUAAAUCUGUUAAAUCCAGUAGUCAGACUCCUUAAACUUUGGCCUGCCUCUCCCAGAUGAGAUUAUACCAAAACCAACCUAAUUAUUACUAAAUUAUUUGAUCAAUUUGGAAUUGAAAGGAUGAGGAAGAAAACACAACUAAAAGGAAUUGUACACCCAACAUUAUACACUAAGUCAAUUCCAGUUUGGGAUAAAGAAAAAUCUAAAAAAUGAAAGUAUACAACUUUUAGAAGUCAUUUCAUGGGGAUAUAUUUAUAAUUUAAAGACAGCAAAAAAAAAAAAAAAAACAUUGACACAAAACAAACAAAAAAGAAAACCUCUACUAUAUGAGUAUAUAAAUUAAAAGUUAUUGUUUAUCAAGGACCAUAAAAAACAAAAACAAGAAUCUCAAAUUGUGAGAAAUUAUUUUCAGUGCAUAAAAAUGACAAGUGAAUAUUAUUCAGCAUGUAUAACAAAAGCUUCACAACUACUAAAGGAAAGAAAAAAUUAUAAAACACAAAGACUCAAACUGCAGUUAACAGAAGGGGAAAUUUGAAUUUUUAUCAA